ACAGCCACAUCACAUUGGAACACUGGUUCCUGUACGAUCAACAAAGUUAGGCAAUGUCGAGACUGGUCAGUACCUAGAUGGGUGACUGCUUGGGAAUACCAGGUGCUAUA